UACGGAGGGUGCGAGCGUUGUCCGGAAUCACUGGGCGUAAAGCGCACGUAGGCGGUUCGUUAUGUCGGAUGUGAAAGCCCUUGGCUUAACCGAGGAAGUGCAUCCGAAACUGGCGAGCUAGAGUACUAAAGAGGAUCGCGGAAUUCCCGGUGUAGAGGUGAAAUUCGUAGAUAUCGGGAGGAACACCGGUGGCGAAGGCGGCGAUCUGGGUAGAUACUGACGCUGAGGUGCGAAAGCGUGGGGAGCAAACAGG
rnacentral:rRNA from 1 species